GAGUUUGAUCCUGGCUCAGGACAAACGCUGGCGGCGUGCUUAACACAUGCAAGUCGAACGAUGAAACGGAACGGAAGUUUUCGGACGGAAGUUCUGUGGAUUAGUGGCGGACGGGUGAGUAAUGCAUGAAGAACCUGCCUUUCACAUAGGAAUAGCCUCGGGAAACCGGGAUUAAUACCAAAUGACACUCCGAGAUCGCAUGUUUUUGGGGUUAAAGAUUUUAUCGGUGAAAGAUGGCUUCAUGUCCCAUUAGCUGGUUGGUGAGGUAACGGCUCACCAAGGCGACGAUGGGUAGCCGACCUGAGAGGGUGAACGGCCACAUUGGAACAGAGACACGGUCCAAACUCCUACGGGAGGCAGCAGUGGGGAAUAUUGCACAAUGGAGGAAACUCUGAUGCAGCGACGCCGCGUGAGCGAUGAAGGUCUUCGGAUCGUAAAGCUCUGUCCUAAGGGACGAUAAUGACGGUACCUUAGGUGGAAGCUCCGGCUAACUACGUGCCAGCAGCCGCGGUAAUACGUAGGGAGCAAGCGUUGUCCGGAUUUAUUGGGCGUAAAGGGUGCGUAGGCGGCCUGAUAAGUCAGAUGUGAAAGGCGGAGGCUCAACCUCCGUUAGCAUCUGAAACUGUCAGGCUUGAGUGAAGGAGAGGAAAGUGGAAUUCCUAGUGUAGCGGUGAAAUGCGUAGAUAUUAGGAGGAAUACCGGUGGCGAAGGCGACUUUCUGGGCUUAUACUGACGCUGAGGCACGAAAGUGUGGGGAGCGAACAGGAUUAGAUACCCUGGUAGUCCACACCGUAAACGAUGAGUGCUAGGUGUCGGGGGUCAAACCUCGGUGCCGCAGCUAACGCAUUAAGCACUCCGCCUGGGGAGUACGUACGCAAGUAUGAAACUCAAAGGAAUUGACGGGGACCCGCACAAGCAGCGGAGCAUGUGGUUUAAUUCGAAGCAACGCGAAGAACCUUACCAGGGCUUGACAUACCGGUGAUCGUCUUAGAGAUAGGAUUUUCCUUCGGGACACCGGAUACAGGUGGUGCAUGGUUGUCGUCAGCUCGUGUCGUGAGAUGUUGGGUUAAGUCCCGCAACGAGCGCAACCCUUGCCGAAAGUUGCUAACAUUCAGUUGAGUACUCUAGAGGGACUGCCGAUGAUAAAUCGGAGGAAGGUGGGGAUGACGUCAAAUCAUCAUGCCCUUUAUGUCCUGGGCUACACACGUGCUACAAUGGUCGGUACAAAGAGCUGCAAGCAGGUGACUGCAAGCGAAUCUCGUAAAGCCGAUCCCAGUUCGGAUUGUAGGCUGCAACUCGCCUACAUGAAGUUGGAGUUGCUAGUAAUCGCAAAUCAGAAUGUUGCGGUGAAUGCGUUCCCGGGUCUUGUACACACCGCCCGUCACACCAUGGGAGCUUGAAAUACCCGAAGCCUGUGAGCUAACGCAAGAGGCAGCAGUCGAAGGUAGGGCAAGUGACUGGGGUGAAGUCGUAACAAGGUAGCCGUAUCGGAAGGUGCGGCUGGAUCACCUCCUU
rnacentral:rRNA from 1 species